CCUACGGGAGGCAGCAGUGGGGAAUAUUGGGCAAUGGGCGCAAGCCUGACCCAGCAAUGCCGCGUGAAGGAAGAAGGCUUUCGGGUUGUAAACUUCUUUGACAGGGGAAGAGAAGAAGACGGUACCCUGAAAACAAGCCACGGCGAACUACGUGCGAGCAGCCGCGGUAAUACGGAGGUGGCAAGCGUUGUCCGGAUUUACUGGGUGUAAAGGGCGUGUAGGCGGGAAGGGAAGUCAGUUGUGAAAUGCGGGGGCUCAACCUUAGAAUUGCAUUUGAAACUGGUUUUCUUGAGUACUGGAGAGGCAGGCGGAAUUCGUGGUGUAGCGGUGAAAUGCGUAGAUAUCAGGAGGAACUCCGGUGGCGAAGGCGGUCUGCUGGACAGCAACUGACGGUGAGGCGCGAAAGCGUGGGGAGCAAACAGGAUUAGAUACCCCAGUAGUC
rnacentral:rRNA from 1 species